AAUAAAUACUCAUCUUGAGAUUUGACAGUGACACAAACAACAACUAGAUUGCCAAAUGAAAUUUCUCAAAUGAAGCAUCAGUGCAGGAGCUCUCUCAUUCAUUGUAUAUACAAUGCUUGGUUUUAUCCACAACUUCCAACUCCAAUCAAAUUGGAUAAAGAAAACCUAUUUGUUUCUUUCAAGAGCUCUUUGUAAGAAACCUUUAAAUGGGGGCAUCGAGAGAAGACGUGCUUUUAGUGUUGGGAUGUACUCUGGUUUAGUGCUGGGAUGUACUCUUAACUAGCUCUUGCUUCAUCCUUGAUUAUUUCUGGUUUACUGCUGGGAUGUACUCUUAACUAGCUCUUGCUUCAUCCUUGAUUAUUCCCGGUUUAGUGCUAGGAUGUACUCUUAACGCUUCACAUUUUUAAAAAAAUGUACCACCUACUUUUUAUUUACUACUGAAGUUUGCCUGUAGUCUUGUGGCACAGGCAUUGUAAGAAUGCUGGCUAUAUUUGAUAAUUCAGUAAUUUUUAGUUGCAGGGCAUUGAAGAAAUGUUGGAGCAUAGUCAAGGAACCACUCCUUCAUAUACUUUUAGCAAUAUGGAAAACCGGAUUAUGGUGAUAUGUUUGACGCCCAAGGGGGGUUUUUUCAUGGACUCACCACCUCUGUUAGCAAUGGCUUCAAUGGUGUCAAUUCUGGUUGGAGCAGUGCUUUUAGUGAUCUUAUUUCAGAUAUGUACAGUCAAGCUGAGCAGAUAUCCACUGUAAAUUCUACUCGACAACCCACUGCAAAUGAAUUUAGUUCAACUCAAUUGGGCCUGAAUUCAGAUUUAGUAAUGGUGAUGAUGAUUUGGAUGAAAAUGACUGGGAAUUCAAGCAUGCCUUCUCAGAAGACACAGUUGGAAAUGGGAAUCCUGAAUUUGAGAUUGUAGAUGCACAUCAAAACUUUUCCGGUGAACUAAAGCUAAAGAAUUUUGUAGGUUUCUACUCUAGAUUGAAAGACGAAGCAUGAUUUUUCAUACUUGACCAUCUUGAUGAUCUCAAGCCAAUGGAGAUAUAUGUGGAUGAUGAGGCCAAGUUGACCCUGCAUGGUCUCGUACAGCACUGCAUUAAACUGAGUGAGUUGGAGAAAAACUGCAAGUUGAAUGACCUCCUAGAUGCAUCAGAUUUUUAUCAAGUUGUCAUUUUCGUUAAAAGUGUGAGCAGAGUAGCUGAGCUAAACAAGCUACUCAUGGAGUGUAAUUUCCCAUCUAUUUGCAUCCAUUCUGGAAUGUCCCAGGAGGAAAGCCAAAAAAUCAAGUGCAUGAAGAUUCAAGUACUAGAAAUCAAGUGAUGCUAGCAAUGAUCUGCAGAUUUUCAAUGCUGAGAACUUACAGAGCAACAGUAAAAUCUACUACAGGCCCUAAAAAAAGAUUCGAGGUGCCGUUAACAAUGCCAAUAGAAUCCUCCAGGUCAGAUUGUUGAUUGGACCUGAUUUUAUUUAAAUGAUCUUGAUAAUCCAUUUUAUUUAAAUGAGCAGACCCGGAUAUGCGUCGGAGCUAUCCGGACGUUGAGCGGGGUCCCUGGAAUGUGAGAAUCGCUGUUAUGACCAUGAUGAAGCUGUCCAUUUCCUAUGGACAUCAUUGGAGUGGCCUGGCCAUUUGGACAGGCCGUGUUUAUAUCAGUAUUUGCUCGAAAUUGAUGGAGCAGACCCAGAUAUGCGUCGGAGCUAUCCAGAUGUUGAGCGAGGGUCCCUGGAAGGUGGGAACCACUGUUAUGACCAUGAUGAAGCUGUUCAUUUCCUAUGGACAACAUUGGAGUGACCUGACC